rnacentral:rRNA from 1 species
CUUGACGACCAUAGAGCAUUGGAACCACCUGAUCCCAUCCCGAACUCAGAGUGAAACGAUGCAUCGCCGAUGGUA